UAUCACUCCUAACGGAGUUUUAAAGGGAACUCACUGUGUGUCUGUUUGGCCAGCUUGUCGGAUCGUUCAGUAUUCAGAAGUGUAAGGCAUUCUGAGAGUAGGCCGCGGAUUAGAGGCAGCGUCGUUGAUUAGUACUCAAAGCGUCCUGGGUCCCGUGUUAAAACCCGCCACCGCCUCAGUUUUGUUUAAUAACAAGCAUUGGCGGCCGAAGACUUCCAGCAUAAGAAGUCACCCCUCAUUAUUCCAACGGCCUUGUCAAAGACAGCGGAAAAGCGGACAGAGGUUCAGGUGGGAAACUGCCCUAAAGGCGGAAGAAUAGCAAUGAUCAGUGGCAUGAGGAUGCAUUAGCAGGCAAUGGAAACCAUAGCAUUAAAGACACAUAACGUGUAUCCACAUGACAUGUGGUCUGUAAUUAAAAAAUUACAAUUACAUGAGACACAUCUUCCGGAAGACGAAAACCGAAUUUUGGAAACUUUUUCGCUAUUGCGUUUACAUGUUAAGACUUGAAUGGGAUUUGCUAACCUAGUUAAAUGGCGCCUGGAAAACAGCUGUUACAGUUUAUGAUUAAUCGCUUGGUUGUAGGAUUAAAGGGACCAGACUGCUACGGUCAUCGGUCCAGCACAAUCGCUAUUUCUCUUCAACUACACGAGGCGUAAACAGUUUCAGUCUAACAUUUCUACUUAUCCUUCACUGUACAAAAAGCCAACCCGUUCAUAUUAGCCGAAAAUUUUUAAAAACAAGACGAACAUUGACAGCCCAAGCACGUUUCAAAACCGGCUGCAUUUACAUGGGAGCGAAAAUAGACUGCAAAUUGGAAAACCGGUUAGCAGAAACGGAUUUCCACAAUAGAUUUUGGAAUGUUUACAUGACCACCCAGGCGCGGUAUUCGGAAAUAGGUUUACCAAAUCAGGUUUCGGGAGCCCCAUAUAACUGGGGUGAGUGUGUGACAUCUCGAUCGAUACGAUAACAAAUACAACACGGUCGGUGGAAGUAUUCUAAAGACAGUGAAGUAGUGAAUUUUACUUCCGCUUGUUGGAAGACUACUGAACAGUAAUUCGCAGCCGAUCGUAUACUGACGAAGAAGCAAUCCAUCAUGGACUAGAAGAGGAAUAAUUAGCAGUGAAGUGAACAACAUAGUGUAACACCACAAUAGGCGACGUGUGUGGUGGACAACGACUUUCUUGCAGCCGUUGGAGGUGUCCAAUGCAGCAGAAGUGCAAUAAAUGGAGUGGGCGGCUGGGCAUCCAGGUCGCGGAGAACGGAGUAGAAAUAGUUGGUAGUGUGCCAGCGCCACGCAACUACUUCCUUGCCACACUGAAUCAAGGUACGUUGAACGUCAAGUAUGGCACAUUCCAGCCACCAAGUCAAGGUUCUGCAGUACGUAGGUAAGCGAUUUUCACGUGUGGCCCAUGUUGCGGAAACGGAUUGAAGACAUUGAGGAUCAUGAAAAUGGCAAGUGUUUAGCUUCCGCGGUGCAUGAGUGCACCAGACAACUUGGUGCAGGAGGAGGAUGUUGCAGAUGUAGGCAAAGUGGUCCGAAAAGGCCAAGGGCCAAAGUUCUGCAGCUUGGUGUGCAGAUGUGCGCUUCUGAGAGACUCAAAUCCUGUCAAGGCGGCUCAUUGAGUGACUCAUCUGGUAAGUAUGUCCAGGUGCAUCAUCCUGCUGAACUUCCCAAGUGUCAUGGAUCAACAGAUCACGGACAACAAGGCACAACUGUUGACAGGUGUUGUAGUGGGGCAUUUGACCCAUAGGAUGCAGGACACAAUUAAAAUCACCCCCAAGCAAGUAACAGUGACAGUGCCCAAGAAACAAAGGGGUGAUUUCUUCUGAAUAGAUGUUUGCCAUGCACCGCCU